rnacentral:rRNA from 1 species
GACGAACGCUGGCGGCGUGCUUAACACAUGCAAGUCGAACGGAAAGGCCCUGCUUUUGUGGGGUGCUCGAGUGGCGAACGGGUGAGUAACACGUGAGUAACCUGCCCUUGACUUUGGGAUAACUUCAGGAAACUGGGGCUAAUACCGGAUAGGAGCUCCUGCUGCAUGGUGGGGGUUGGAAAGUUUCGGCGGUUGGGGAUGGACUCGCGGCUUAUCAGCUUGUUGGUGGGGUAGUGGCUUACCAAGGCUUUGACGGGUAGCCGGCCUGAGAGGGUGACCGGCCACAUUGGGACUGCGCUACGGCCCAGACUCCUACGGGCGGCAGCAGUGGGGAAUAUUGCACAAUGGGCGGAAGCCUGAUGCAGCAACGCCGCGUGCGGGAUGACGGCCUUCGGGUUGUAAACCGCUUUCGCCUGUGACGAAGCGUGAGUGACGGUAAUGGGUAAAGAAGCACGGGCUAACUACGCG